rnacentral:rRNA from 1 species
GACGAACCGUGCGAACGUUGUUCGGAAUCACUGGGCUUAAAGGGCGCGUAGGCGGUUUGGCAAGUCGGGUGUGAAAACUCCGGCUCAACUCGGAGACGCCACUCGAUACUGCUAUGACUCGAGUCCGGUAGGGGAGUGCGGAAUUCCUGGUGUAGCGGUGAAAUGCGCAGAUAUCAGGAGGAACACCGGUGGCGAAGGCGGCACUCUGGGCCGGUACUGACGCUGAGGAGCGAAAGCGUGGGGAGCGAACAGG